UCUGAUUGACAAUCCGUAGGGCCUGGCAU
rnacentral:piRNA from 1 species